UCCAUCACUCCUACGUCCUCUCUUCUAUUUCUCUUAUUUCUCAUUUAUCUGCUGAGGGUAAAAAUUUAACCUUUCUAACUCUUUAGCUAAUGCUGCAAACUUCUGGCCUCUACAAUGUAGCUCUUGGAUUAGUUAUCUGCUGAUAUCCUUCGCACGCCUUUUCCCUAUGCUAAAACACCCUGAUGUUCCCUUUCUGCCACAAUAAGUAUAUACUCCCAGCCAGCGUCAUCCGGUAUAUUUGAGCUUUGGUAGAUCUAUUCUUUGCAUAGGUUAUUGCUCAGUUAAUCUCCGUAGAUCAUAACAUUGACGCGCUGUUAAUUUUCCCUCAGCUCCCAAAAUCUACUAGAAAACAGACACACGAAAAAAGAUGCUCGACUGUUUCAUCAACAAUACCGCAAAGCGGACAGACAGUGUCAUUAGUUAUGUCGCAUCUAGCAAGUCUAUCCCUAGUAUAGUUCUUUCUGUGUGAUACAAGCAGGAGCGGAUCUAGGAUUUUAAGCUUGUGGGUUAUCCAGGGGAUUCGAACCAGGGUUUCAAUGCUUCUGAAAGAAGAUUUUGUACCACUAAGUCACGCAUCAACUAUGUUAAUGGGUUCCUAACUUACUAUUAUUAUAUGUUUAAUAGUAUAUUUUUAAAUAUAAUUAUAAAAUUUAUGAAAAAUCCUCCCCUAACUACAAGGUUGAGGAUGAACAUCCAUUUGGGAGUGCUCUAAUUAUUGCACGUUAGCUUCCUCUAAUCAACCUUAGCAAACCAACCCCUCGGUCUUUGGUAUAUGUGUUGGACAUAAAAUCUCGCAUUCUCAUCACAUCCUGCAAAGUCAUUCCCGCUUCUUCAAAUAUCUUCCUAGCCUUCAAAAUUAUUCUCUCCAUCCAUGAAGGUUGAGGAGCAAGAACUUCCCAGAUAAACAACCGUUUUAUGUAGUAGGAAUCAAAGAUACUUCUACUUUUUCUGCACAGUGAUUAGGUAAUUUUUGGAUCGAUCAUGAGUCAGCUUGAAGUGGAACUGGAGACACUUCUAUUUUUCUUACUCAGUGAUUAGGUGAUUUCUGGAUCGAUCAUAAGUCAGCUUGAAGUGGUGAGCUUUCAUACUUUGAAAGACCCUUAUUUCAAGUUCUUGUUUCAUUAUGUUUCACACUUUCCUUUUUGGACUCAUUUUGACUAUAGUGAAGGGCAUGUCUAGACAUAGGUUGUUUUUAGGUUAUUAAAGGCUUUGUGGAUUACUGUGGAAUGGGAUGGUUGUUGAAAUUUUUAAAUUCUUUUUUGAGUUAGUUGAGUUACCUAUCUUGUUAUAUGUUUGGAAUUUGUUCGAUGCUAGUUUUAUUAUGUUCUAUUGGCUAGGCAAAGGGGGUGGUCUACAAUCCUCAGUGGACUUGAGAUAUCCGUCACGCUCAGGUCUUGGUUCGAGCUGUGACAACAUGUGUCGGACAAACCCUGUGUCACCUCUGUAAAAUAAUAAUAAGUCAUCAGGAAAUCCUAAUUGUACCAGCCCUAUCCUCCCACAUCUCAUGUGGUAAUUGAAAUAAGGUUACUAUUUUAGGGUCUUAAAAGAUCUAGUCAAAUAAUCCAUAGCUAGGACAAAUAGGUAUGGAGUCAAGGCCACUUGUUGUAGCCCCUUCUUUUCUUCAAAUGAUAGGGUUAUUACGAUCUUAUAUAUGUAUGACCUAUAUUACCAGUUGAA